UAACUCGUCGCGUUCCAGUGGCGGAGUCGUGGCGCCCAGGCAUGAAGGUCUAAAUGUUACUGUGGCGGCGGUCUGAGGAACGAACCAAGACGCCAGUGUGAAGCAGCGAGGUGUAACUGAUUCCUGGUGUUGCAUACACUCAAGAGAAAAAAAGAAUUGUGUCUUUUGACAAUAAACUGAAAAUCUAAACCAUUCCGCAUCAUAAAGUCUGAAGAAGGGAAGACGCUUCUGACGCUAGACACACUAAAAGGAAGAAAAAUAAAAUAAUAAAAUAAAUAAAUAAAUAAAUAAAAAAAAAGAUACAAAACAUAAACAGGUGUGAAGCAAGAAGUCUCCAUCUAGUGCCCCUCCCGCCCCCCCCCCCCCCAAAAAAAAGCCCUUUUGACGGUAAAUAAAAAAUCCAAACAAUUCUACAAACCAAAUCAUUGUUGUGUAAGAACCGAACGAGUGGGUGUGUGAGGAACAGCCUCUGAAUGUGCCGCCCUCGAGGUGGUAACGGCCGUAGGAGCCAGCAUGGCGUGGAGGGCACGGCUGCAUGUGCCUGGAGGAAUGCGGCGGGCAGGCGCUUGGGUCACGAUGGUCGUCAUGCUGUGUUUAUCAUCCGCAGCAGGUGAGUGUCUGAACCACAUCAGCGUGGCGGGAGGACUGCUGGUGAGAGGCGCCGGGGACUCCUUCUCUGUCAUGGUGGCGGUGAAGGAGACAGAGGCUGUGGGUCACCUGCUGUACUGGGUGACGUGGGACGAGGAUGUGACACCGUCCAUUCCCACCCAAGGAGACUUUGCUAACUAUUUCCACGUGGGCAACUCAUCAGCGAGGGAGUGGCGCGUCACCGUAAAGGAAUCGCUGGUCGGCCUGCCUGACUCCCCGCUCCUCAAGACAAUCAUUUCAACGUCAGUGGUGUUCCCGGCUUUCAGUGACGGUGACGUGUGCUCGCUGGUGCUGUCACAUCACCUGCAGGACGACAACACACAGGCGCCCGUGGUGGAGGCAUCCAGUUGGUUCCUACACAUUCCUAAGGACUUCCCGACCGGCACGCCUCUGCAGGGACUCACAGUGACGGUGACGGACAAGGACGCCGCAACGCCCAACAACCUGAUGGAGGUGGACGUGGAGGGCGUAUGUCCCCUGGCGGCAGAGGGAAGACAGUACGGGGGCGUGGCGGGAGAACAUCACCCCGUUCACUUCCACUUGAUUUCGCGACUCGAGGAACUGGUGAACCAAACCCUCAGCUGCACGAUUAAGGUCACGGACAUGGGGAGCCCACCGCUCUUCUCCCGCUCCUUGCUGACUGUUCACGUGUUGGAGGACUUGCCAACCACCACCACCACCACCACCCCCAUCACCCAUAGUAGUACCUUGGAGAUGGAGCUGCCCUUCUAUCUAGCGGAGGUGUGGCCCGGAAUGGAGGUCGGGUCGUUCUUAAACACGUUCCCAGCGCCAGUGAAGGUCAAAGGAGGUGAUCUAAUGCUGCCUCAGGUCACCUAUACCAUAAGGAACGCCUGGCCUGGAAUUAACGGGGCGGAGGUGUUUGCCAUCAACAGUUUGACGGGGCAGGUAUCCUUAGCGAGGGAGCUGGACGGGUCGUGGGCGGCGGGCUGCGACGACACUUCCUCCUUCGUUCCCUUGGUCAUCCAGGCACAAGACCAACGCGGCAGGGUCACCAUCGCCAUUCUGCAAGUUACAAUGAAGCCACAAGGCACAGCUUCCACCCGCACGCUACCUUCCACAACCUCUGCCCCGUCCCACCACCACGACUCCUCCACCGCCUGUCCCUGCCUCGCCUUCAGGAGCAGAGGACAACGCAGGCUGAGCUUCACAAGGCUUAGCUACACGGCGGAGGUGUUCUCAACGGACACCUUUGUGGGGAGGGUGGAGGCCAGGCUGGGGGCACGUGGAGGGCUCGUCCGCUAUUCCUGGGCCUCGCCGACGAACGUCACCAGUUUCAUUAUCAACAGCAACAGCGGGGUCAUCACCAUCGGGCCCUCCGGUGUGCCGCCGGGCCGCCACCUCCUCGCUGUCCGUGCCGCAGCUGGCUGCCUCCACGCCACGGCCCAGGUCAGCGUGCGGGUGCUGGAGAAGGAAGAUGAAAAGCCAGACGGCAGCAGCAGGCUGAGCAGGGUUCGAACCGAGAGCAUCUGCGAGCCGUGCGAGCUGCUCGGCCUGCAGGUGGCCGUGGGCGUGCUGGCCGCGUUGCUUGGGGUGGCUCUCAUCGCGGCGGGGGUUCUGGGCGUGCUGGUGUACAGGAGGGGUGGUGCAGGGAAAGCAGGAAACGUGUGGAGGAGAGCAGACAGGACGAGCAGGACGAGCGUGAUAUAGUGGCCCCAGGCUGCUCCUGUCUCGCGUCUCGGCUGCUGCUCAUUACUCAGCCUCUGCUUUAGGAACCCCCGCUCACAUCAGUCCUGCUCACACACCCGCCGCGGGGCCCACCCUCUGGUCUCAAAUUUUUCAGGCAACAGUGCAGCGACUGCAUGGAGCCAUAAGCCAUUCAGGAGCCACGUGUGUAUAAAUGACUGCCUGGCCGAUAUUCAUGUUCCCCAAUUUCAGGAGGAAGGCGAGAGAGGCGAAAGCACGAACGGAAGUGAAGCACAUUAGCACCCUCGGCAGCGCUUACCCCAACCUCUCCUUCAGCAGGGAGAGUCAGGAGUGAUCAGGACACAGGCCGGGAGGGGACAAAGUGCAGCUAAGGCACGCGCUGGCCUGGAUGACCUGGGGUGAGGACACAUUCACGCUGGCCGGGGACCAGGCUAAUGGAUAUAACGAACUCAUAUUUACAUUCUACCG